rnacentral:lncRNA from 1 species
GAACAGCAUCCAGCUGUGGCAAGAGAGAACAUUAACUGUAACUUGAAGACUGAAUCCAAGGUGAGCAUAAGAAGAAAGCUACAGGCAUCUGUAGCAACAUGGCUAUAAAGUCCAGCCUCAUUGAAGUCCAGAUUGCCUCAGUUUCCAGGACUAUGCUUCUUUAAUACUGUCUGCCUGCAGUCUCCUCUCCCUUCAAUCCCCUUCUCACACCUACCUUGUCUUGACAUCAAUCCUUACCUGUUUUCU